GAUGAAGAACGCAGUGAAAUGCGAUACGUAAUGUGAAUUGCAGAUUUCAGUGAAUCAUCGAAUCUUUGAACGCACAUUGCGCCCGCCAGUAUUCUGGCGGGCAUGCCUGUUCGAGCGUCAUUUCAACCAUCAAGCGCCUCGCUUGUGUUGGGGCCCUGCGGCUGCCGCAGGCCCCUAAAUCCAGUGGCGGGCUCGUCGUCGUACCGAGUGCAGUAAACAUCCUCGCUCAGGGAACCCGACGGGUGCCGGCCGUGAAACCCCCCCUCCUCAAGGUUGACCUCUGAUCAGGUAGGAAUACCCGCUGAACUUAAGCAUAUCAAUAAGCGGAGGA
rnacentral:misc_RNA from 1 species